rnacentral:rRNA from 3 species
AAAUUGAAGAGUUUGAUCAUGGCUCAGAUUGAACGCUGGCGGCAGGCCUAACACAUGCAAGUCGAACGGUAACAGGAAGCAGCUUGCUGCUUUGCUGACGAGUGGCGGACGGGUGAGUAAUGUCUGGGAAACUGCCUGAUGGAGGGGGAUAACUACUGGAAACGGUGGCUAAUACCGCAUAACGUCGCAAGACCAAAGAGGGGGACCUUCGGGCCUCUUGCCAUCAGAUGUGCCCAGAUGGGAUUAGCUUGUUGGUGAGGUAACGGCUCACCAAGGCGACGAUCCCUAGCUGGUCUGAGAGGAUGACCAGCCACACUGGAACUGAGACACGGUCCAGACU